ACAGUACUCCCUCCGAUCCUAAAUUCUUGUCUCAAAUUUGUCCAAAUAUGAAUGUAUCUAUUCUUAAAAAGCGUCUAGAUACAUGUAAUAUUUCGACAACAAUUUAGGACCGGAGGGAGUAGCAC
rfam:Brachypodium distachyon strain Bd21 chromosome 4, whole genome shotgun sequence.